AACGCACAUGGCGCCUUCCAGUAUCCUGGGAGGCAUGCCUGUCCGAGCGUCGUUUCAACCCUCGAGCCCCUGUGGCCCGGCGUUGGGGAUCUGCCACGGCAGGCCCCUAAAACCAGUGGCGGACCCGAAGGGCCCUCUCCUUUGCGCAGUAGCAUUCGCCUCGCAUUGGGAGUCCUCGGCGUCCUGCCUCUAAACCCCCCACAAGUCCGCUUCGGCGGCACCAAGGUUGACCUCGGAUCAGGUAGGAAUACCCGCUGAACUUAA
rnacentral:misc_RNA from 1 species